AGAACGAACGCUGGCGGCAGGCCUAACACAUGCAAGUCGAACGCCCCGCAAGGGGAGUGGCAGACGGGUGAGUAACACGUGGGAACAUACCCUUCGGUUCGGAAUAACUCAGGGAAACUUGAGCUAAUACCGGAUACGUCCGCGAGGAGAAAGAUUCAUCGCCGGAGGAUUGGCCCGCGUCCGAUUAGCUAGUUGGUGAGGUAAUGGCUCACCAAGGCGACGAUCGGUAGCUGGUCUGAGAGGAUGAUCAGCCACAUUGGGACUGAGACACGGCCCAAACUCCUACGGGAGGCAGCAGUGGGGAAUAUUGGACAAUGGGCGAAAGCCUGAUCCAGCCAUGCCGCGUGAGUGAUGAAGGCCCUAGGGUUGUAAAGCUCUUUCGUCAGGGACGAUAAUGACGGUACCUGAAGAAGAAGCCCCGGCUAACUUCGUGCCAGCAGCCGC
rnacentral:rRNA from 1 species